GCACUCCAGUGAGCUUAGAGAAUGAGAGAGUAGUGGAGCUCAGCAGCUAUGCCAGCCCAUUUGGGCCUUGGUGUGACAAAAGUGGAGUGGAUUAAGAGUGACUAUGAAUCUGCCUGAGGGAUUGAACAGCUGUGUGCUAUGAGGAAAAGCUUUAAGAAGGAAGAAGAGCAUAUGGGGAUUGGAGGAGGAGAAUGGAAGGCCUAGAGAUGGAGUGGGUCAAUCAGUAACUGAUAUGACCCUUGCUCAGCUUUGACAGGAGCAUCUUGGCUGAGAUGUUCAAACUACUUCUAUACCACUUCAUGAAACAUCUCCAAGAGGAAGGAGCUGGUAAAUAAAGUUGGAUGUUCCUGGAACGAGUACCUUUAUUUGAGAGAGGAAGAUUCGGAAUCCAUGCUACAUGCAUAUUCUGAGAAAAGAUACACAAAAAUCUGGAAAACAGAAUAGAAUGCAUAAAUAUUUGUGGUUGGAUGGAUUUUAUCUCUUCAUAUUUUCAAAUGAAUAGGAAGUUAUAGACUUGUAUGACAUGGAAGUUAUUUCUGUUCCAAAUACUCUCUAAACCUAGAGGGUCUCUGUGGUUUCAAGAUCAUCCAUCCUUUCAAUUUCAUUUCAUGACUUUAAAUUCCCAAAUUGCAUUCAAGGGGUCUGUAUUCUCUAUUAAAAUUCCCUGUUGGCUGAAAUAUAGCAGAAUUUUGUCUACUUCUA